ACUCUUCCUAACACUACCAACCUAUCUUGGGGAGUGCGGGAGGGUGGGGAACAUUAAAUCCUGGGCUCGGCCUCAGGCCGACAGAGCCGAAAGUGGCCUCGGGAACCUAUGCCUGUUAAAAAAAGAACUACAAGUCCCAGCAGGCUGAGCGGCUACGGCUCUCUGGACCUGCUCGGGAUUGGAGCGUAAUGCAACGUUCUAGGAAAGAGAGUAUUUCUUCUGGGUGUGGCCAACCCGGAUUUGUAGUUCCCAGGCCGGUGUUCCCGUAUGGUCUCACUCUGUCAUGCAUGAUGGACUGCAGUGGUGCAAUCAUGGCUCACUGUAGCUUCGACCACCCUGGCUCCGGUCAUCAUCCUACCUCAGCCUCCCAGGUAUGUGGGAUUACAGUGGUGUCAGUCAUCAACCUUGUGAUCACUGAGGAAAAGAUACAAUAAUCCUUGCCUAUCCGACCCAACCAGGAUCCUGAGCCCUCACUUUCUCCCUGCGUUCCUCAUGAUCCAUUUGACUAUAAUGCAGAAAGUUUGUUUAGCUACUGGCUGGUAUCUGUAACUCCUAUGACAGCUCACACUCCUUGAAGAAGAAGAGAGAAAACAGAAGACUUGUCCUGUGGAUAGAUUAUUUCUUCUUCUGUUUGUUUGUUCUUUGUAUGCUCUCGACAACAUCCACAUACACAAAUGCACAUACAUAAACACAGAAACUUUUUCUUAACAUGGACAAUCUGAAAGAGAAAGCAGCACAACAACCAUUUUGGAUGAUCGAGACUAUUUUUAUAUUAUUACAGUACAAUUGCAGAAUGAAUUCAAAAGGGCAAGCCCCUAGCAAUGAUAAUGCUAAAUGGCUGGUGGAUGUAAAUAAUUAGUGGUCAAUAUAUUAUCCAUGAUAUGUGGCAAGUUUGAAAGUUGGAAAUGCAGAAUCCCUGUUCUGGUCAUAUUAUUGUACUUGGAUCUGCUGGGAACCAUUUGAUACUCUGGGAUUCUCAUUGAGAAUCCAGUGAUAGCUAAUGUUGAAUAUUGCUUGCUGCUGGGCAACAGUGACUGUCAAAACAUUCCGUCACCACUUUUUUUUUUCAGUUUAGAAAAAGGGUCUUGGAUGUUGCCUAGGCUGGCCGGAAACUCCUGAAGUCAAGUGAUUCUCCUGUCUUUGCCUUUAGUUCUGGAAGUACUGGGAGUGAACCUCUGCACCAGGAUUUCCCUCACCAUUUUCUGUAAAAUGGCUUACUACAAAGAACAUUUCUGUAGUAUAUUUUUAUGUAUGUAUGUAUUAUGUAUUUAUUUAUUUAUUUAUUUUUGAGACAGAGUCACAAUGCUGCCCAGGCCCUAGUGCAGUGGUGUGAUCUUAGCUUACUGCAACAUCUGCUUCUGUGUUCAAGAGAUUCUCCUGCCUUAGCCUGUGGAGUAGCUGGAAUUACAGGUGCACACCACCAAGCCCGGCUAAUUUUUAUCUUCUUUGGUAGAGACCGUGUACACACACACACACACACACACACACACACACACAUUUAGGUAGAUACGAGGUCUCGCUCACAGCAGCUUCAGCAAACACAGAUUUCUGGUGUUGGAGGACAGAUUUAACUACAGAAAAUUCUGUUGGGCAAUCGGAAGCCUCAAUCUAUACAGACUUUUAGGAGGAGCCUGCCUGUUUGGUUCAAAUUUAGCCAAAAUAUUUUUUUUUUACCACUGAUUCAGUAAAUCUCCUAACUUUGCAGGAACUGGGAUCCUAAAAAUUAUGGAACGAAUUGUAGAAACUCAAGCAACUUUCUCCAAAGCCUAGGGUUCAGCAAGAGUAAGCAAGAGGCACUGAGCCGCUGGAGUCUGCACAUUGAUAAAUUUACUUACAGUCGUAAAUAAAUUGCAUCAUCUUCAGCUAGUAACACAGAGUCUAAUUUUUAUAGCGGCAUACUUGCCUCCACGACUUUCCUAGACACCAGAAAGAAAGGCGAGAGCCAGCCUUAGCCUAAUCAAGAACCAUGAUCCAAAAAGGAGUGGGAGGAACCUAGCGGCCACGUGGGAAUCCCAGCCCUCCUAUUAAGCCUACCCUCUUUGCAAAUUGUGACUGUGAGCUCCUGGUUUACAGAAAUAUAUCCCAGAACUCAAGCAACAUGAGCCACUAUAAUUGUCUCUGGAAGGUGACCCAUUUGCAGAUAGGGACUUCCCUGAAGGUUGGGGCCCUCAUGAGCUAUGCUUUCCACCAAGUUGUCUCUAUAAGGACCAGUUCCAGGACCUCAGGGAGGAAAUUUCACUUUCUGCCUUGGUGGAAUGUGAAGUGAGUGGCUCCCCGGCCACACCCCACCCUCCAUAAAAUAGAAGGUAAAUCCCAACUGCCAAAAGCUUUUUGUCCUCCUCUCAGGGAUACUAAUUAAAGCAGUUGGGCUACUUUUUCAUGCAUUUCAUCUCAAGUUGUCUUUCUGCCUAUCUCCUGAGCCCAGCGAAAGAGUUCCUUAAAAUAACCCUCAAACCUCUGUAGUAAAGGACCACACAAAUAACGAAUGCCAUGAAAAAACAGGGCUAGAGGUUUCAGAGGAUGAGAAAGGAAGAGCAGCCAGAACACUGGCUGUCUAGGUAUGCUACUGGUGCCUGACUCUGCACCUGUGUGUGUCUGUGUGCUGUGUUCCAAUGGCAGAGCAUCGGGGCCACCAGAACUCUCUCAGCUACCGCACAUGGAGAGGGAGGAGUGAUAAAGAGAAAUCAAGAAACUCAGUUUCUUUGAAAUGGAAAUCAAUAAACUCAGUUUCCUCAAAGUUCAAAAUACAUGAGACUGCCUACCCUCCUUGGAAGGCAAGGUGGGGCUUUCUGAAGCAAAUACCAGCUUUAAAAAAAAAUGUAUAUAUAUAUGAAGAUAUAUACAAAAAAAAAAUUUCCCCACAACCAGACAAUCAGAAUCAUCAAACCCAGAAGGGUUAAAGAAAAAGAAAAGGCCCAGGAAAGUAUGAUUGGUGGGGAUCAAAAGUAUCUCUCCACAGUGGUAAAUGAGAAUUCUCAAAAAGAGUAAAAUUAUAAUUCUCAUGCACAUAUAAAAUAAAUAUGUAUUACAGAUUUUACUUAAACCAUAUAGCUCAAAAUUAGCUAACAAGGAAGACAUUAUAACCUGUUCAAAGAGAAGCCAAAGAAGGGAAAUUUAUAUGCUGUAAAGAAAUAUUUAAAGGAAUAUGGCAAAACUGACUCUUAAUAGGAGAUGCCCUAUGUGGUACAUAAUUUGUUUGUGUAUCUACACACAUGAAUUAUUUUGCACUUGUAUCACUAUCUACAACUUACACUGUUGUAAAGUAACUCCCACACAAUCAGAAUCAUAUAACCCAAAAAGGUAUCUUCCCUAACCAAACAAGGUUUUCCAAUAAAGCACUAUUUUGUCUCACAUUGCCAUAUUUUAAUGGCCUUUGAAAAUAUUAUUUCUAGAAAAGGGUUUGAAGGAAAUUUGGUUGGACUUGACUUUUGUACCCUUGUUAUCAUUAUCAUUAUUAUUAGUGGUAAUUGUAGUUCCCUGCUGAGACUAAGCACUCAGCUCUUGAAAUGCCAAUCUCAAGACUUUUUCUUCCAAAGCUUCCAGAAAUAAUGGAAGAAUGUGUAGGCUGCAUGCACAAUGAAAGCCAGUAAGUAGAGGAAGACUCUACAAAGUUAUGUUUGUUUCAGAAACAGUAGUAGUGACAAAAAUAUAUGAAGAUAUGCAAUAGGACUAAGUUAAAGUAACAUGCAAUUAUUUCUAAAACUCAGAAUUGUAUUUUACCCAUCUGAUUCUGCCAGGUUUUGUUUCCAUGAGACAUGCAGUCUCAUGGAGAGAUAAACGCAGUCUUGGGUUGGCUGAUGAUGUUUUGGGGACAGCCACAUUAUUUUAAUAUUAAUUUUAUUCUUAUUUAACAUAGUUUUAGUACUGCUGAUGUGGAAUAUUCUUAACAAUGUCUGUUUUUUGGGAAAUAAUAAGCUUAAAAUCUUGAUAACUGCUUCUGGGGCAGCAGUCAGGGCCUAGCUCCUCUCUGAGACUCCAGAGGUCAUGCUUAUCCAGUCAAGGCAACUUUUCAAGGCAAGUAGGAUCCAGGAUUCCUGUCAAGUAAGUGGGCUCAGUCCUGACUGACAAACAAACAAGCACAAAAACAACCCCUCCCCACAAAAAAACACACAUACAAGCUUGGGUGGAAAGCCAGUAUACAGUACCUGAGGAAAGACAAGAAGAGCAAACUGAAAAGAAACCAGAGAGGCUAAGAAAAUAGCCUAGAUAAAAGGAAAAUGGUGAUGAAGAUAUUCAAAAGUACCUCUCUGAUAGUUACACCAUCCUGCAUUCAGAGUCCAUGUUUCAUAUUAUAAUCUUCUCACUGCCUUUGUCUUUGUUUUUUUU
rnacentral:lncRNA from 1 species